rnacentral:lncRNA from 1 species
AAAAACAAACUGCAGUUACUGUUUAAAAAAUAUUUCAUUUUAAAACUGAUAUUUUUCCUUGAGUUUUAAAAAUACUUAAAUAUGUUAUUAUUCUAUUUUAAAGUCUGGCAAAUUUUAACAGUCACUUUUAGAGAAGAGGCUACAUCUUAGGAGAGUUUAACUAAGCUAAACUGUAUUUACAGGUCUGACUUGACUUUGCUUUUAAAUCGUCAGUUGUCUUAACAAAUCCUUCCCAACUACUUAAGUAGUUCUUACAAAUUCACAUCAUCAGGUAACUCUUGAAUUUAUUUUAAAUAUUCAAAAAUGUAUACAAAUUUAGCAAAAUUCUCUUAAACCUUUCAACUUAAAAUCUGAAGUCUAAAUCUUUGUUCAGUCAUGCAGUUUUUCUUCAUUCACAAAGCUAAUCUGAUAGAUGCUUUAAUAUUCCAAAAUCUCUUAAAACACUACAAGAUCUUAAAAGGUCUAAUAUAUAGUUAAUUCUCAAAUUUAAUAUAAAACAUUAGGAGUAUGGGUUUGAGGUACUUUAUACUAAUAUCUAUUCUACAUACUAGCUUUUCUAAGAAAAUAGUUUUACCUCUGAAGCAUUUGCAGGUUUCUUUCUCAGUAAGUUGGACUUACUUGCCUAAACAAGUCUGUGUAACCAUCUCAGCAGUUGAGGUUGCACAUUAACCACAGAUAACAGUCUGGACAUGAGAUCUGAGGCAGCUCUCAAAGACUUUUUCAUGACCAUGCAAAAUAAGCUGACGUCUUCUAUAGUCACUAUUCCAGAAGGGAACAGUCUUGGAAGUCCAUUCCGGCUGCAUUCUAAGUAUUUCUAAUUGAGAACCUGUAACUACCCACCCAGGUUUUUGCCAUUAGUUUAUAAGAUUUAACUCAUAGGUUUACUGGGUUCUUUCAUCCCUGGGAAAACCACUUUGACAGAUACCUGAAUGACAUUCUUUGGAUUCUGCAUCUCUCUCAUGCUCUGC